GACGUAGGGCGCGAGGCGUUGUCCGGAUUUAUUGGGUCGUAAAGAGCUACGUAGGCGGCUUGUCGCGUCGUCCGUGAAACCUGCAAGCUCAACUGCAGGCUUGCGGUCGAUACGGCAGGCUAGAGUUCGGUGAGGGGAGACUGGAAUUCCUGGUGUGAGCGGUGAAAUGCGCAGAUAUCAGGAGGAACACCGGUGGCGAAGGCGGGUCUCUGGGCCGAUACUGACGCUGAGGAGCGAAAGCGUGGGAGCGAACAGG
rnacentral:rRNA from 1 species